UGGGGAAUUUUGGACAAUGGGCGAAAGCCUGAUCCAGCCAUACCGCGUGCGGGAAGAAGGCCUUCGGGUUGUAAACCGCUUUUGUCAGGGAAGAAAUACUUCGGGCUAAUACCCUGGGGUGAUGACGGUACCUGAAGAAUAAGCACCGGCUAACUACGUGCCAGCAGCCGCGGUAAUACGUAGGGUGCAAGCGUUAAUCGGAAUUACUGGGCGUAAAGCGUGCGCAGGCGGUUCUAUAAGACAGAUGUGAAAUCCCCGGGCUCAACCUGGGAACUGCAUUUGUGACUGUAGAGCUAGAGUACGGUAGAGGGGGAUGGAAUUCCGCGUGUAGCAGUGAAAUGCGUAGAUAUGCGGAGGAACACCGAUGGCGAAGGCAAUCCCCUGGACCUGUACUGACGCUCAUGCACGAAAGCGUGGGGAGCAAACAGGAUUAGAUACCCUGGUAGUCCACGCCCUAAACGAUGUCAACUGG
rnacentral:rRNA from 1 species